rnacentral:tRNA from 1 species
GCCUUCGUGGUGUAGCGGUUAACACGCUCGACGCGUAACCUAGAUUUCUACGGUUCGAUUCCCGGCGAAGGCG